UACGAGGGGGGCAAGCGUUGUUCGGAAUUAUUGGGUUUAAAGGGUGCGUAGGUGGUCCGUUAAGUUCGUUGUGAAAGCCCUGGGCUCAACCCAGGAACUGCUUCGAAUACUGGCGGACUUGAGGCGAGUAUAGGUCACUGGAACUGACGGUGGAGCGGUGAAAUGCGUAGAUAUCGUCAGGAACGCCAAUGGUGAAGACAGGUGACUGGGCUCGAUCUGACACUGAGGCACGAAAGCGUGGGGAGCGAACGGG
rnacentral:rRNA from 1 species